rnacentral:rRNA from 1 species
AGGGAUUGCCUCAGUAACGGCGAGUGAAGCGGCAACAGCUCAAAUUUGAAAUCUGGCCCUUUCAGGGUCCGAGUUGUAAUUUGCAGAGGGUGCUUUGGUGUCGGCCGUGGUCUAAGUUCCUUGGAACAGGACGUCACAGAGGGUGAGAAUCCCGUACGUGGCCGCCGGUCUUCACCGUGUAAAGCCCCUUCGACGAGUCGAGUUGUUUGGGAAUGCAGCUCUAAAUGGGAGAUACAUUUCUUCUAAAGCUAAAUAUUGGCCAGAGACCGAUAGCGCACAAGUAGAGUGAUCGAAAGAUGAAAAGCACUUUGGAAAGAGAGUCAAAAAGCACGUGAAAUUGUUGAAAGGGAAGCGCUUGCAGCCAGACGUGCCCGCAGUUGCUCACCUAGGCUUUUGCCUGGGGCAUUCUUCUGCGGGCAGGCCAGCAUCAGUUCGGACGGUUGGAUAAAGGCCUCUGUCACGUAUCUUCCUUCGGGAUGACCUUAUAGGGGAGGCGCAACACGACCAGUCUGAACUGAGGACCGCGCAUCAGCUAGGAUGCUGGCGUAAUGGCUGUAAGCGGCCCGUCUUGAAACACGGACCAAGGAGUCUAACAUCUAUGCGAGUGUUUGGGUGUAAAGCCCGGACGCGCAAUGAAAGUGAACGGAGGUGGGAACCUUUCGGGGUGCACCAUCGACCGAUCCUGAAGUCUUCGGAUGGAUUUGAGUAAGAGCAUAGCUGUUGGGACCCGAAAGAUGGUGAACUAUGCCUGAAUAGGGUGAAGCCAGGGGAAACCCUGGUGGAGGCUCGCAGCGGUUCUGACGUGCAAAUCGAUCGUCAAAUUUGGGGCAUAGGGGCGAAAGACUAAUCGAACCAUCUAGUAGCUGGU